rfam:Thermocrinis minervae strain DSM 19557 genome assembly, chromosome: I
GCCGGCGUAGCUCAGUGGCAGAGCGAGGCACUCGUAAUGCCUAGGUCGUGGGUUCGAAUCCCACCGCCGGCU